AUCCCUGUAGCGCAAUGGAUAGCACAUUGGACUUGUAAUUCAAAGGUUAUGGGUUCGAAUCUCACCUGGGAUG
rnacentral:tRNA from 1 species